GCGGGUAUGCCGGAGUGGUCAAACGGGACAGACUCAAAAUCUGUUGGCUUUAUGCCUACGAAGGUUCGAACCCUUUUACCCGCA
rnacentral:tRNA from 1 species